rnacentral:rRNA from 1 species
GAUGAACGCUAGCUACAGGCUUAACACAUGCAAGUCGAGGGGUAACGAGAGGGAAGCUUGCUUUCCUUGUCGACGACCGGCGCACGGGUGAGUAACGCGUAUCCAACCUGCCCCCAACUAGGGAAUAACCUUGCGAAAGUAAGACUAAUACCCUAUAAUUUCCUCAGAUUUCAUCUGACGAGGAAUAAAGAUUUAUCGGUUGUGGAUGGGGAUGCGUCUGAUUAGCUUGUUGACGGGGUAACGGCCCACCAAGGCAACGAUCAGUAGGGGUUCUGAGAGGAAGGUCCCCCAAAUUGGAACUGAGACACGGUCCAAACUCCUACGGGAGGCAGCAGUGAGGAAUAUUGGUCAAUGGGCGGAAGCCUGAACCAGCCAAGUAGCGUGCAGGAUGACGGCCCUAUGGGUUGUAAACUGCUUUUAUACAGGAAUAAAGUUAGCCACGUGUGGUUAUUUGUAGGUACUGUAUGAAUAAGGACCGGCUGAUUCCGUGCCAGCCGCCGCAGUAA